rnacentral:rRNA from 1 species
UAUUGGGCGUAAAGGGCUCGCAGGCGGUUUCUUAAGUCUGAUGUGAAAGCCCCCGGCUCAACCAGGGACGGUCAUUGGAAACUGGGAAACUUGAGUGCAGAAGAGGAGACUGGAAUUCCACGUGUAGCGGUGAAAUGCGUAGAGAUGUGGAGGAACACCAGUGGCGAAGACGACUCUCUGGUCUGUAACUGACGCUGAGGAGCGAAAGCGUGGGCAGCGAACAGGAUUAGAUACCCUGGUAGUCCACGCCGUAAACGAUGAGUGCUAAGUGUUAGGGGGUUUCCGCCCCUUAGUGCUGCAGCUAACGCAUUAAGCACUCCGCCUGGGGAGUAGGGUCGCAAGACUGAAACUCAAAGGAAUUGACGGGGGCCCGCACAAGCGGUGGAGCAUGUGGUUUAAUUCGAAGCAACGCGAAGAACCUUACCAGGUCUUGACAUCCUCUGACAACCCUAGAGAUAGGGCUUUCCCUUCGGGGACAGAGUGACAGGUGGUGCAUGGUUGUCGUCAGCUCGUGUCGUGAGAUGUUGGGUUAAGUCCCGCAACGAGCGCAACCCUUGAUCUUAGUUGCCAGCAUUUAGUUGGGCACUCUAAGGUGACUGCCGGUGACAAACCGGAGGAAGGUGGGGAUGACGUCAAAUCAUCAUGCCCCUUAUGACCUGGGCUACACACGUGCUACAAUGGACAGAACAAAGGGCUGCAAGACCGCAAGGUUUAGCCAAUCCCAUAAAUCUGUUCUCAGUUCGGAUCGCAGUCUGCAACUCGACUGCGUGAAGCUGGAAUCGCUAGUAAUCGCGGAUCAGCAUGCCGCGGUGAAUACGUUCCCGGGCCUUGUACACACCGCCCGUCACACCACGAGAGUUUGCAACACCCGAAGUCGGUGAGGUAACCUUUAUGGA